GACGAACGCUGGCGGCGUGCCUAAUACAUGCAAGUAGAACGCACAGUUUAUACCGUAGCUUGCUACACCAUAAACUGUGAGUUGCGAACGGGUGAGUAACGCGUAGGUAACCUGCCUGGUAGCGGGGGAUAACUAUUGGAAACGAUAGCUAAUACCGCAUAAUAUUGAUUAUUGCAUGAUAAUUGAUUGAAAGAUGCUAUUGCAUCACUACCAGAUGGACCUGCGUUGUAUUAGCUAGUAGGUGAGGUAACGGCUCACCUAGGCGACGAUACAUAGCCGACCUGAGAGGGUGAUCGGCCACACCGGGAAUGGGACACGGCCCAGACGCCUACGGGAGGCAGCAGUAGGGAAUCUUCGGCAAUGGACGAAAGUCUGACCGAGCAACGCCGCGUGAGUGAAGAAGGUUUUCGGAGCGUAAAGCUCGGUUGUAAGAGAAGAACGGGGGUGAGAGUGGAAAGUUCACACUGUGACGGUAUCUUACCAGAAAGGGACGGCUAACUACGUG
rnacentral:rRNA from 1 species